rnacentral:rRNA from 1 species
CCUACGGGAGGCAGCAGUGGGGAAUAUUGGACAAUGGGGGCAACCCUGAUCCAGCCAUGCCGCGUGUGUGAAGAAGGCCCUCGGGUUGUAAAGCACUUUCAGUGAGGAAGAACGCCUGGUGGUUAAUACCCAUCAGGAAAGACAUCACUCACAGAAGAAGCACCGGCUAACUCCGUGCCAGCAGCCGCGGUAAUACGGAGGGUGCGAGCGUUAAUCGGAAUUACUGGGCGUAAAGCGCGCGUAGGUGGCUUGAUAAGCCGGUUGUGAAAGCCCCGGGCUCAACCUGGGAACGGCAUCCGGAACUGUCAAGCUAGAGUGCAGGAGAGGAAGGUAGAAUUCCCGGUGUAGCGGUGAAAUGCGUAGAGAUCGGGAGGAAUACCAGUGGCGAAGGCGGCCUUCUGGACUGACACUGAGACUGAGGUGCGAAAGCGUGGGUAGCAAACAGGAUUAGAUACCCUGGUAGUC